UAAGACGGAGGGCGCAAGCGUUGUUCGGAAUUACUGGGCGUAAAGGGCGGGCAGGCGGUCCGUUAAGUCUUCUGUGAAAAUCCGGGGCUCAACCCCGUGAAAUGCAGGAGAAACUGGCGGACUAGAGACCAGUAGAGGCUAGCGGAAUUCCUGGUGUAGCGGUGGAAUGCGUAGAUAUCAGGAAGAACACCUGUGGCGAAGGCGGCUAGCUGGGCCGGAUCUGACGCUCAUCCGCGAAAGCGUGGGGAGCAAACAGGAUUAGAUACCCUGGUAGUCCACGCCGUAAACGAUGGGCACUAGGUACUGGGUCUAUAGACGGAUUCAGUGCCGCAGCUAACGCAUUAAGUGCCCCGCCUGGGGAGUACGGUCGCAAGGCUG
rnacentral:rRNA from 1 species